rnacentral:rRNA from 1 species
AUGAACGCUGGCGGCGUGCUUAACACAUGCAAGUCGAACGAAGCAUUUAAGACAGAUUACUUCGGUUUGAAGUCUUUUAUGACUGAGUGGCGGACGGGUGAGUAACGCGUGGGUAACCUGCCUCAUACAGGGGGAUAGCAGCUGGAAACGGCUGGUAAUACCGCAUAAGCGCACGGUAUCGCAUGAUACAGUGUGAAAAAACUCCGGUGGUAUGAGAUGGACCCGCGUCUGAUUAGCUGGUUGGUGAGGUAACGGCCCACCAAGGCGACGAUCAGUAGCCGACCUGAGAGGGUGACCGGCCACAUUGGGACUGAGACACGGCCCAGACUCCUACGGGAGGCAGCAGUGGGGAAUAUUGCACAAUGGAGGAAACUCUGAUGCAGCGACGCCGCGUGAGUGAAGAAGUAGUUCGCUAUGUAAAGCUCUAUCAGCAGGGAAGAUAGUGACGGUACCUGACUAAGAAGCACCGGCUAAAUACGUG